rnacentral:rRNA from 1 species
GCUUGUCUCAAAGAUUAAGCCAUGCAUGUCUAAGUAUAAGCAACCUUAUACAGCGAAACUGCGUACAGCUCAUUAUAUCAGCAAUUAUUUAUUUGAAGAUCACCUAUUACAUGGAUAACCGUGGUAAUUCUAGAGCUAAUACAUGCGAAAAGACGGGCCGCAAGGCUUGUUGUAUUUAUUAGAUUGAAACCAAUGCAGCUUCGGCUGGUAUUGUGUUGAGUCAUAAUAACUGUGCGGAUCGCUUUUUAAGCGAUAAAUCGAUUGAGUUUCUGCCCUAUCAGCUUUGGAUGGUAGGAUAUGGGCCUACCAUGGCGUUAACGGGUAACGGGGAAUUAGGGUUUGAUUCCGGAGAGGGAGCCUUAGAAACGGCUACCACAUCCAAGGAAGGCAGCAGG